AGAGUUUGAUCCUGGCUCAGAACGAACGCUGGCGGCAUGCCUAACACAUGCAAGUCGAACGCUUGUCGGGCUUCGGUCCGGCAGGAGUGGCGCACGGGUGAGUAGCGCGUGGGAACCUGCCCUGUUGUGGGGGAUAACCGAGGGAAACUUCGGCUAAUACCGCAUGCGCCCGCGGAGUUGAUCCGCGGGGAAAGAUUUAUCGCAGCAGGAGGGGCCCGCGUCGGAUUAGCUGGUUGGCGGGGUAACGGCCCACCAAGGCGAUGAUCCGUAGCUGGUCUGAGAGGAUGAUCAGCCACACUGGGACUGAGACACGGCCCAGACUCCUACGGGAGGCAGCAGUGGGGAAUAUUGGACAAUGGGGGCAACCCUGAUCCAGCAAUGCCGCGUGAGUGAUGAAGGCCUUCGGGUUGUAAAGCUCUUUCGCCCGCGACGAUGAUGACGGUAGCGGGAGGAGAAGCCCCGGCUAACUUCGUGCCAGCAGCCGCGGUAAUACGAAGGGGGCGAGCGUUGUUCGGAAUCACUGGGCGUAAAGGGCGCGUAGGCGGCCCUCUUUGUCGCGUGUGAAAG
rnacentral:rRNA from 1 species